GCCCCCGUAGUUCAAUGGACAGAACAAGUCUCUCCUAAAGAUUAGAUGUCGGUUCGAUUCCGGCCGGGGGCGCCA
rnacentral:tRNA from 1 species